AGUGAACGCUGGCGGUAGGCCUAACACAUGCAAGUCGAACGGCAGCACAGUAAGAGCUUGCUCUUACGGGUGGCGAGUGGCGGACGGGUGAGGAAUACAUCGGAAUCUACUUUUUCGUGGGGGAUAACGUAGGGAAACUUACGCUAAUACCGCAUACGACCUACGGGUGAAAGCAGGGGAUCUUCGGACCUUGCGCGAUUGAAUGAGCCGAUGUCGGAUUAGCUAGUUGGCGGGGUAAAGGCCCACCAAGGCGACGAUCCGUAGCUGGUCUGAGAGGAUGAUCAGCCACACUGGAACUGAGACACGGUCCAGACUCCUACGGGAGGCAGCAGUGGGGAAUAUUGGACAAUGGGCGCAAGCCUGAUCCAGCCAUACCGCGUGGGUGAAGAAGGCCUUCGGGCUGUAAAGCCCUUUUGUUGGGAAAGAAAAGCAGCAGGUUAAGACCCCGCUGUUCUGACGGUACCCAAAGGAUAAGCACCGGCUAACUUCGU
rnacentral:rRNA from 1 species